ACUCAGACAAGGGGAACGCUUGAAAAGUUUUAUUCAAGUCAUUUUCACAUAAACUUGCAACCAUAAUACGGGCAUGUAACACAAGAAUAUGAAAGUGCAAUAAAGAAUACAAAGCUAGUGUCUGAAUAUUAUAAAUAAGAACUCAUCAGAUAAAGAUGCAAAGUUUUGCUGAAGUCAAGACUGUUGGAAGAAAAGUGAAGGAAAUAAUGAAAACUUCAAAAAAAGCUGCAAAAACAAGUGGCAUUUCACUGAAUCUGUAGCAGUUAGUUGCAUAAUAGAAACCUCCCCGUAACAUACUCAUCGGUUUUAAUUCAAGUUAAAACCUUUCAGCACCUUCUAGGAUUUGGAGAAAAUGAAAAAUGCCAUGUCAGCAUAAAUGUGAGACACAGGAUAAACCACCUUUGGUUGUCUGGUGUGAAAUUCACCCUGCUGGUUUGAAUGAGUACAGUACAAACAACACAUAAAUGACUAAGGUACGUUUGGUGUUUGCACCCAUUCAACGCUGCACAGUAAACUUUGGAGCAGAGAGAAAACGAGUAGGCUUUCACCAACACACAAAAAAAAACAUCUACGCAAUAUGCUGGUUCAGAUGGUGACCGAUCUGUCAUUUUCGUCAUGUUUUUGUCUAGAAGUAUUCAAAUACUAAAUAUAUUUCAGGAUUAAAAAAAAAAAAACCACGUAACGAACCCCUUCUGUAGGGAGCCUGAUACGCAGCGUGUUCCUUAUGAGCAGCUUUUAUCUGAAGGCCUGAAAUGUGGGAGGCGACUGCUUCGCACAUGUACUUCAUGUCCUCACAUUUCAAAGAGGAUCUCAGACCACACGGCAGUGAUUUUGUACUGCGACUCAUAUGAUACUGCUCCCACUGACUCCCAUUCAAACGCCUGGCAGGAAGGGUUCCAAGACAGAAUUUGCUUCAUAAGAUGUUAUCAAAACUGUUUUUUUUUUUUUAUAUAUAUAUAUAUAUAUAAAUGGUUUUCAACAAAAACAAACAAACAAACAAACAAAAAAAUGCAUGUAAUUUCUUAAAUAUAUUCCAGUAUGAAAAUAGUUAAGAUACCUGGGUCAAAACUGCAAAGCCAAGAUACUGAAGAUACUGGCUGGCACUCCCCUAUUUAGAAAUGCUUCUACACUUGCUAUAUGAUCAACUCUUCUACUGCAUUGUGAUUAACUAUAGUUAAAUAGGGUAAGUUAAAGUCACAUUUCUUCUUCUUUUUUUUUUUUUAAUCCUAAAAUCUCCUUGCUUUUCUGGAUAGAUCGCUCGUGUUAUCUUAGGCAACGUUUGUGCUGUUGUACAUCACUGUCAUGUUCCUUAACUUACACUUUAAAACAAAUACAACGUUUUGCUACGGAAAAGAGCUACAUCUCUGUAACCACAAUAUCCCCAAUACUCAGUUAUGGCGUUCAGCACCUUUCCGAACCAGGCCAUUCCCACUGAAAGGUCCAAGUCCAGUACUACAACAUGCUCCACCUACAACAGGAUGCUUAAGCUCCUCUGGCUUCUUGCUGAUCUCAGUGGAGUUCUGCAAGUAGUUUGGAUAUAGAUACGCAAGCAGGGUACUGCCUUGAAAACUGAGGGAGAAACUCCUCAGCUGCUCUGUGUCCAGUUAGCACUCUCUUAUCCCACGUUCAGUGUCAAGCACCAUGAAGUAAGAGCACACCACCUCUUACCAGGAAGCAGUCUGUGCCCGCCACAGCUUAGCUUCCAUUACAGUAGUAGCUUGUGUUUCUAUUGCACAAGCUGCUGCCAGGACUUUCACCCCAAUUCUGACCUAAGUUUCUAGAAAGGUGAAUGCAUUUGCAUCCCCCAAACCUUAAAGACUGUUUGAGCUGAGAUUUCAGAAGCCUAAACUUGAACCAGGCCCUCGCUUUGCAGAUGCAUGCAAUAAAUGGCCUCCUAAGAAAGCUGGUCUCCAAAUUUUGCUCCUCUUUGGGGCCCACAGUGGUAACUGAUUGCUAAAAUGGAUCUCUGAGCAAACAAAGAAAGGACCUGCAGUCUAAACUGCAUUCAGGACACGCUUCAAACACUGGGCAGUGAGAAGGGGGCUGUUGGUUCUUAGGUGCUUUUUCAGCAUACCAACUAGCUCUACAAGCAUAACCUAGUCAUGAUUAAGGUGGAAGUACUUUACAGUCCUGAAAUAAAUAUAUGCAGUAAAGAACACGUUGAUCCGUAACGGUUAUCACAACUGAUAGAACUUGCAAACAGAGUUCAUAGGGUUCUAUUUCAUAAAACACUUCCAAACACUGCCUGAAGUAUUCUCAGCAGUGAUCAAAAACCUUGCGUAUUCCUCAGGUUUUUUUCCCUUUCUUCAACUAUACUGAAUAGCACACAUAUUGUAUCUAUAUAUCUAUAUAUCUAUAUAUAUGUGUGUGGUACUGAGGUUUCACGUUUCGUUAGGCACUAUGGAACUCCUGCUUAAACAUAACCAACACCAUGGUUUUAAAAAUGGUCAUGGUCUCAAAAGUAGGUCCUUCAUUUUACAUGAUCUGAAAUCUUCCGAAAGAAAGCACGAGAUCCCCUUGUGAUAUGUUAUUUCACAGUUUAAAGACAAAAAUCACAGCUACUGUAGCUUACAGCAGGGUGCACUGCAAAAGCAAGAUAAUUUGGGGAUGGGAGGAGGGGUGGUGUACCCAGCACCAGUAAGAAGUUCAGUGAAAAAAAAAUUUGAUGUGGGCUGGAAGUUUUUCCCCUUAGCAAUGUUUGGGUCCUGAACAGCCUAAGUUAGGAUGCUUAGUGUAUUUGCUUUCUCACAACGGAAAUACCACGUUAGAGAUUCUGACCUGCUUUUCUUUCGUGGUGCCAUCCGAGUUAACUGCCUGCGCUGUUCUGAUGGCUAACCUGUUCAAAUGGACUGUUUCUCACAGAUGACUGCACCAGGGACUCUUCACCAUCUCUGCGAGCCCUCUCCUUGGCAGGUAAUCAUUUCUAUCCACGUUACGUGUGCAGAAGUCUUUUAAAAAGCCCCACCUUGAAAGAUCUCUUCAACGUAGAAAGGUGGAUAAGUUCUUUAAUUUGUUCCUAUGGACGGAAGGUUUCUUUCAAAACCCCAUCCACUUUGGACUUAAGGAAACGGUAGAACUUCUAACGUAUUAAAAGUGUAAACACAGCUUUUCUUGCAGGGGGGUAACUGAUAGAUAGAUAUAGAUAUAUGCAUUUCUCUGCUAUAUGUUAAUAUCCCUUGAAAACUGAACGUACUUCUCUCAUUCGUAUCAACACGUCCCAGCAAGUUUUGUCUGAAUGGUUACAGUGGGGUCACUCUCAAGCAGUUUUUCAUUCUGGUGCUUUCUGAGACAGCUGGCGUUAGCACUUUCUAUUGCAUUUUACAGAAAGAUUUGCUACCUUUUUAAGAAUAUGCUCAACUCAUUCACCAGUAAUAUUCUGACUGAAGUCUAUCUCUCAUCGCCUGAACUCCGAAUUAGCAGGAGUUGAAAAAUGCCUGUGGGUUGCUUGUCUUUGCAAAUGAACUAAUACUUCAAAAUUUGGAGUAUCUGUGCACGAGUCACCAGAUUCACUCAUUUCAAUGGUUAGAAACACAAUGCCAAUUCAGAUGCUUAAAACCCAGCUUCGGAUUUUGCUGAGAAGCAGCCGACGCGCUUCAAAAGGAUCACAUGGUGUGUGUGGGUGUAGGUGUGUAUGUUCUGUAGGUUUGCUUCUAUACUGUUUACGUCCUAUGGAAAUUGAUACAAUGGUACUUCAGUUCAAAACACUUGGCACCGUCUCGUCCAUCUUCUCAUGUCUCUCUCAGUAUCUGUCAAAGGAGAAGAAACAGUGUUAUGCAAAUGGCCAAAAGAAAUACACACACACGCACACACACACACACACACACGAAGAUCUGCUAAAUGUGCUUUCAUCAGCUUGGAGGUGCAGCUCAAAAACAGCAGAAGAAAUGCUGCCUUCUCACCAGCCUGAAUACGUCUAUCUGAUUACAUUUGCCAAUGGAAACCAUUAAGUUAAGGAAUAAAGCGUAAAUUUCUCUUCCAUUGGCAUGCGAGUGAACAGAAAGAAGCAGCCCUUGCUGCAGUAACUUUGCUGCAGUUAGUCACCUCUGCUACACAGAGGCCAAAUGCUUUUAAAAGCUCCUUCUACUGGUCCCUCAUUAAUUACUCUGCCCUGUAGGACACCUGCUCUGCCACUGCUUCCUGCAAGCCUUACCACCCUACAGCGAGAACAAAGAAUUAGGCUGGUGCCAUUUAACCUGUUGCACUCACGACCCAAGUGUGAUUAGAAACACAGACCUCCCUGCCAGACAGAACAAAGUUCCUCAUUUUAGCCUCCCUUAAUGACCCGUCUCCUAAUACAUUCAUUAGGCCAACUGAUCAAUAUUCACACUACGUUUAUUUCAUUGACGCUGUUACGGUAGACUACGCUGUCAUUUACUCUUCAUUACUGCUCUGGAAUUUUUCUUGGAUGAUUCUCUAUGCGUGGUUAGCACACCAUUUCUUAUGCCAUGCAAGCCAACCCAUUUGGUAAAUGUUGUAUACCUGUAAACUUGGAAACUGCUCGUUAUUGUGUUACAGAGCAAUCGCCUUUUGUGUGCAUCUACUAAGCUACAGCAGAUCUGCAAGUAAGAACACUAAUUAAAUGUGAAUUUGCCUUCCCGGAGGAAAAACGAGACCAUGCACAGUUGCAGCACUGUUUAAACUUUUGAAGAGCUGUCAACACAGCGUACCUGGAAUGGCUGAUUCGGGAAGGACGGCCGUUGCACCCACGGCAGCACAGCUAACAUACACGUGUGGGAUUUUACAGAAUGCUUUAAGAGCUAUUUAACUGCUCAGCUGUUCUGCUUGAAUGCACUAAGGUUGGUACUGAAUGAGAACAGAAAGAUUGUAGUGCAAAUACAAAGGACUCGAGCCAGGCAUAGUGACUGCCCAGGCAGCAGGAGCUACUGUCAAGUGCCACAUAUCCCAGUAGCAAGACUUCAGAAGCAAAGUUCUCACUUAGGCUAGCUUUCAAGCCUAAUUAAUAUGUUUUUCAAAUUAAUGCUAGGUAAUGCAAAGCAUUUAUUUACGGCAGGUCAGGAUUCUCAAGUUAUGCAGUUAUCGACAGCAAAGUAAUGAUUCCCGACCUUCUUUCCAGAAAAGACCUUUAAAACGCGCCAUCCGAACUUCGAAUUUACACUCCAGGUCCUUGAAGCUAUGAAAUUCCUCAUCUCCAUACAUCUGAAUGUCAGCUUCAGUGCUAUGGACACCGAACAGGAAAUAUACUUACGGUGAAAUUGUACAGCCAGAGGCAUAUGCAUGGUGGCCAGUAUAGCGUAUAUCGCAGCGCACUAUGUUGUUGGAGUAAUCAGAUUCAGGUACCAAAUAGCUGGGGUUUACGCUGACCUUGAGGGAAGAAAGCAGAGUGUUGUACCUUGGUUGGUUGCUUUACGUUCAAAUGGACAUACACACAUGAUUUGUAUUUAGGGGGGGGGGAGAAAAAAAAAGAGAACAGUAAAAAGCAAAUCCCCUUUCCCUAAGUCCUUACCUUCAGAAUGUAGUUUCCAGGUUUCACAUCUGUGAUAUCAAUCCACUGGCAAUCGAUGUCAGCAUUGUAAGUGUCGUAACAGCCAGGACUCAAUCCCUUAAAAACGGAGUGAGAUAGGUGUCAGAAAUCCCUUAAGGAAGACUAACAUUGCAUACAUUGGUAACACUGAGACCAACAUACACUUAACCACCACAAUGUCUCACUAAGGAAAAUUAAAACUGCUAGAGGGAAUGAGUUUUGUCUCUUCUAGGCCUUUUAUUUGAAUACCUGACCUAGAACACCUAAGUCUUGCAUAGAGAGCACUGAACUAGUGCUGUUGUGUAAGAAACUGCCAUACUGUUGGCAGGUGUUGACCUGUGAGACAUCCACAUUUUAUCUGUCAACGACUCCAUGGAGGCAUUAAUUUUGGAAAGCACUGUGAGAAGUGGUGCUCAGCCACGCCUGGCUUGCAUUUCCCUCUAGCUGUGCUUCCGAUGCCUGCGACCACUGCAGUGCAAGGAUGGUCGGUCAGCAGGGGGUCCUGAGCAGAAGGCACUGAGCUGCACGGCAGCAGCACCGCCACACUGCCCACCUCUGCAGGACAGAAUGCUGACGUUGCCUCCCUACCCUUCCCUCACAGUCACACCCGCCCAAAUACAAACGAGCCAGAAGAGACCUCACAGAAAACAGGCCAUUCCACAGCACGAGAUGGUGUUCCACAGGAAAACAUAGGGCUGAACAUUUAAAAACCUGUAUCUGAUCUGUAUUUCAUUGUCCUUUAUGUUACACUACCGGUUCUACAUCAACAACACUGACGCAACUACUCACUCGUGCUUACAACGCAAGAAUAAAAUCAAUCUCGACCAAAGCCUGGACCUAAAUAUCUGCAAACUUCAGGUAGGUCACUGCUGAGGCUCUUGAGGAUGAGUUUGCUCA
ensembl:lncRNA